GGGCCCGCACAAGCGGUGGAGCAUGUGGCUUAAUUCGAUGCAACGCGAGGAACCUUACCUGGGCUAAAUCCACAGUGAUGUCUUCUGGAAACAGGAGGUCCCUUAGGGGCACUAUGGAAGGUGCUGCAUGGCUGUCGUCAGCUCGUGCCGUGAGGUGUUGGUUAAGUCCCGCAACGAGCGCAACCCCUGUGGUUAGUUACCAGCACGUAAAGGUGGGGACUCUAGCCAGACUGCCUACGCAAGUAGUGAGGAAGGUGGGGACGACGUCAAGUCAUCAUGGCCCUUACGUCCAGGGCUGCACACGUGCUACAAUGGUCGGUACAAUGGGUCGCCACCCAGCGAUGGGGCG
rnacentral:rRNA from 1 species